AGGAUGGUGUGCUGGAGAUGGAA
rnacentral:miRNA from 1 species